rnacentral:rRNA from 1 species
AUUGAACGCUGGCGGCAGGCCUAACACGUGCAAGUCGAGCGAGCGGCGGCCGGGUGAGUAAUGUAUGGGGACUGCCCGAUAGAGGGGGAUAACUCCUGGAAACGGUGGCUAAUACCGCAUACUAUCGGAUAACCCAUAUGGGAUUAGCUAGUAGGUGGGGUAAAGGCUCACCUAGGCGACGAUCUCUAGCUGGUCUGAGAGGAGGAUCAGUCACACUGGGACUGAGACACGGCCCAGACUCCUACGGGGGCAUGAGGGUGGAAUAUUGCACAAUGGGGGCAAGCCUGAUGCAGCCAUGCCGCGUGUAUGAAGAAGGCCCUAGGGUUGUAAAGUACUUUCAGCGGGGAGGCGUUACCCGCAGAAGAAGCACCGGCUAACUCCGUGCCAGCAGCCGCGGUAAUAC